rfam:Ovis aries breed Texel chromosome 8, whole genome shotgun sequence.
UUUCUGGUGGUCCAGUGGUUAGGACUCUGCACUCUCAUUGCGGAGGAUCCAGGUUCAAACCCUGGUUGGAAAG